GAGUGAAGCGGCAACAGCUCAAAUUUGAAAUCUGGCUCUUUCAGGGUCCGAGUUGUAAUUUGUAGAGGGUGCUUUGGCGUUGGCCGUGGUCUAAGUUCCUUGGAACAGGACGUCACAGAGGGUGAGAAUCCCGUACGUGGCCGCCGGUCUUCGCCGUGUAAAGCCCCUUCGACGAGUCGAGUUGUUUGGGAAUGCAGCUCUAAAUGGGAGAUAAAUUUCUUCUAAAGCUAAAUAUUGGCCAGAGACCGAUAGCGCACAAGUAGAGUGAUCGAAAGAUGAAAAGCACUUUGGAAAGAGAGUCAAAAAGCACGUGAAAUUGUUGAAAGGGAAGCGCUUGCAGCCAGACGUGCCCGCAGUUGCUCACCUGGGCUCUCGCCCGGGGCAUUCUUCUGCGGGCAGGCCAGCAUCAGUUCGGGCGGUUGGAUAAAGGCCUCUAUCACGUACCAUCCUUCGGGAUGUCCUUAUAGGGGAGGCGCAACACGACCAGCCUGAACUGAGGACCGCGCAUUUGCUAGGAUGCUGGCGUAAUGGCUGUAAGCGGCCCGUCUUGAAACACGGACCAAGGAGUCUAACAUCUAUGCGAGUGUUUGGGUGUAAAGCCCGGACGCGCAAUGAAAGUGAACGGAGGUGGGAACCCCUCGGGGUGCACCAUCGACCGAUCCUGAAGUCUUCGGAUGGAUUUGAGUAAGAGCAUAGCUGUUGGGACCCGAAAGAUGGUGAACUAUGCCUGAAUAGGGUGAAGCCAGGGGAAACCCUGGUGGAGGCUCGCAGCGGUUCUGACGUGCAAAUCGAUCGUCAAAUUU
rnacentral:rRNA from 1 species